UACGAAGGGGGCUAGCGUUGCCGUCGGAAUGACUGGGCGUAAAGGGCGCGUAGGCGGAUGGCACAGUCAGAUGUGAAAUUCCCGGGCUUAACCUGGGGGCUGCAUUUGAUACGUGUGAUCUAGAGUGAGGAAGAGGGUCGUGGAAUUCCCAGUGUAGAGGUGAAAUUCGUAGAUAUCGGGAGGAACACCAGUGGCGAAGGCGGCGAUCUGGGAAGAUACUGACGCUGAGGUGCGAAAGCGUGGGGAGCAAACAGG
rnacentral:rRNA from 1 species